AGCUCCAAUAGUGUAUAUUAAAGUUGUUGCGGUUGAAAAGCUCGUAGUUGGAUUUAUGUGAAAGCUGGCCGGUCCGCCCUUUGGGUGAGUAUCUGGUUUGGUUGGAGCAUACUAUUGGAGGGCGUGGCUGCACUUGACUGCGUGGCACGCAAACCAAAACUUUUACUUUGAGGAAAUUAGAGUGUCCCAAGCAGGCUGCUCAUGCCUUAAAUACAUUAGCAUGGAAUAAUAAGGUAGGGCUUUGGUUGUAUUUUGUUGGUUUCUACAAUUGAGGUAAUGAUAAACAGGGAUACUUGGGGGCAUACGUAUUUAACUGUCAGAGGUGAAAUUCUUGGAUUUGUUAAGGACGGACUACUGUGAAGGCAUUUGCCAAGAAUGUUUUCA
rnacentral:rRNA from 1 species